rnacentral:sRNA from 17 species
CAGCGGCGCAUGAUUAGCACCGCAGUCUGAAAGUUGGCUCGUCCCCCGCCGCUUCAGACUUCAGGACAAAGGCCUUAUCCCCCCUCUCCGGGCCUUUGUCCCCUGUUACGAAAAGUCGUCACGGCGCCGCCUCCAGCCGUGACGACUUUUU